AACGUAGGACGCAAGCGUUAUCCGGAAUUACUGGGCGUAAAGCGCGUGUAGGCGGAUCAUUAAGUCACUGGUGAAAGCACCGGGCUAAACUCGGUGAGGUUCGGUGAGACUGGUGGUCUGGAGUAUGUCAGAGGGGGGUGGAAUUCCGCGUGUAGCAGUGAAAUGCGUAGAGAUGCGGAGGAACACCGAUGGCGAAGGCAGCCCCCUGGGCCGACACUGACGCUCAGGCACGAAAGCGUGGGGAGCAAACAGG
rnacentral:rRNA from 1 species